rnacentral:rRNA from 1 species
UACGUAGGGGCCUAGCGUUGUCCGGAUUUAUUGGGCGUAAAGAGCUCGUAGGCGGCUUGGCAAGUCUGGUGUGAAAUCUCCACGCUCAACGUGGAGGGGCCACCCGAUACUGCCAUGGCUAGAGUCCGGUAGGGGAGUGUGGAAUUCCCGGUGUAGCGGUGAAAUGCGCAGAUAUCGGGAGGAACACCAGUAGCGAAGGCGGCACUCUGGGCCGGUACUGACGCUGAGGAGCGAAAGCGUGGGGAGCAAACAGG